GUUUUUUUUAUAUAUUUAUGGUUUUACAUAAAAACCAUAUCCAUUAGAAACAACACCACAAAAACACAUUAGCCCUUUCAUCCAUUUCUAUCUUACGGUUACACACAUCCUCACACACAUAAGGUUGAAUCUUCAAGUUCAAGCAUCUCACUAUCUUGUUUCUACUCUACUCUAAGUUGAUAUUGUUGAUGUUUAGACACCUAUAGGUCAUCACGCAAUCGCGGGCUUUAUUUGUCUUUGAUUGGUAAUUGGAGUAAUUGCUUUGCUGAUCAGGUUGCAUUUUUCAAAACUACGGAACGGUUGGAAUAGAAGAACCCACGGGAUUUCGAGUACUUAGCGGGCGUUCAUUGUUUAGAAGUCUUAGCUUUUUGCUUCCGCUGUGCAAUGA
rnacentral:lncRNA from 1 species